UGUGUUUUUACCCCUAUUUUUUCGACUUUGUGAUUUUGCCCCUGCGAUUUGAAAACGAAGCUCCCGUUUACCCCUACUUUGGACGGCCGUUAGAAGGUGCUAUAUUAAACAAAUUAAACAAAUUGAAAAUUAAUAGAAUCGUAUGCGAAAAGACCUCUAUACCCCUUAUCCAUCCAACUUCAACCAGCUCCUCUCAGUCGCACGCACCAAAUCCGGACACAUUCUGACCCAUCCAAACCCUAGACCAGCGGCAGGCGAGCGCGCGAGAACGGCGGCAGGUGAGCGCAGCGGGCCGGCGCCAGGCUGCGCGGAGGGCGAGCUCUUGCGGACGGCGCCAGGCGUGCGCGGAGGGCGAGCGCUUGAGGACGGCGCCAGGCGUGCGCGGAGGGCGAGCGCGGCGGGCCAGCGUGAGGUGACGCGGCUGGCCGUCACCGCGACGCCUCGGCCUCCCUGCUCCACCGCCUCCUCUCCUCGUGAGGUGAGCUCGCCAAACCUCUCGCCCCCCUUCCUCUCUGUCUCGUCCCUCGAUCUGCGCGAGAUCUGGUUGCAUCGGGAUGGUGUUGUUUAUUCCACAAGCACUAGCAUUUCGCGUGGUGGGUCUCUCGGUCUCCGCUCCUCAGCAUCUUUCUUUCUCUGCUUGUUCUGUCCAGUGGUCAGUGAGCAUAUCCCUCUGUGGAUUAGCCCAAAUGGCUUGGUAGUUAACAUUGCCCUUUGCUUCCAUGUCAAAUUGAUAUUCUUUGAUAUUUGCAGCUUCCUCAUUCUUUGAUAAACUAAGCGCGGCUUGACCCGUGGUGGGUGGUCGGCUUGAGGUCACGAUAUGGAUAUUGAUAGGCCAAAUCACAAGGAUUUUGAACUUGUAGUUAGGGUUCGGUCAUUUUUCAGUAUGCCAGAUGGGGGGCCAAAGUUAUGGCGACAGGGUAAAACAUUGCCAACACAAUUUAUUGACAUACAUAACUAUGGUCUGCAGCAGCUAGUUGAUUUCGUAGCUGAACAUUACAUAUGGGGUUCUAAGCAGUUGUGCACUUUAUGGCGUGAUUUGGAGAAUAUAUCUUGUGAGAUAAAAUCUGAUGAAGAAUUGCUUGAUUGGUUUCUACUCAAUCUAGACAAAGGGGUUGCGUGUAUCAAUGUCCAGAUGAAUGAUUUUGAGGGGGCAUUACAAUGUUCACCAACAAAACGUAGAUGUCACCCUUUUCAUCGAGGACCCACAAAUGAGACACCAACUAAUAAUGAUACACCAUCUAAUAAGAGACCCACAAAUGAGAUCCCCACUAAUGAGAGAACCAAUUU